AGCGAACGCUGGCGGCAGGCCUAACACAUGCAAGUCGAACGAACCUUUCGGGGUUAGUGGCGGACGGGUGAGUAACACGUGGGAACGUGCCUUUAGGUUCGGAAUAACUCAGGGAAACUUGUGCUAAUACCGAAUGUGCCCUUCGGGGGAAAGAUUUAUCGCCUUUAGAGCGGCCCGCGUCUGAUUAGCUAGUUGGUUGAGGUAAUGGCUCACCAAGGCGACGAUCAGUAGCUGGUCUGAGAGGAUGAUCAGCCACAUUGGGACUGAGACACGGCCCAAACUCCUACGGGAGGCAGCAGUGGGGAAUCUUGCGCAAUGGGCGAAAGCCUGACGCAGCCAUGCCGCGUGAAUGAUGAAGGUCUUAGGAUUGUAAAAUUCUUUCACCGGGGACGAUAAUGACGGUGCCCGGAGAAGAAGCCCCGGCUAACUUCGUG
rnacentral:rRNA from 1 species